UCCUGGCUUAGGACGAACGCUGGCGGCGUGCCUAAUACAUGCAAGUCGAACGGUCUUUCUAUGGAAGCUUGCUUCCACUGAGAAGAUAGUGGCGAACGGGUGAGUAACACGUGGGUAACCUGCCCAUAAGAGGGGGAUAACAUCCGGAAACGGGUGCUAAUACCGCAUAGUUUUCUUGAUUGCAUGAUUGAGAAAGGAAAGACGGCCUUUGUGCUGUCGCUUAUGGAUGGACCCGCGGCGUAUUAGUUAGUUGGUGAGGUAACGGCUCACCAAGACGAUGAUACGUAGCCGACCUGAGAGGGUGAUCGGCCACAUUGGGACUGAGACACGGCCCAAACUCCUACGGGAGGCAGCAGUAGGGAAUCUUCCGCAAUGGACGAAAGUCUGACGGAGCAACGCCGCGUGAGUGAAGAAAGGUUUUCGGAUCGUAAAACUCUGUUGUCAGAGAAGAACAAGUUGGAGAGUAACUGCUCCAGCCUUGACGGUAUCUGACCAGAAAGCCACGGCUAACUACGUGCCAGCAGCCGC
rnacentral:rRNA from 1 species